CUUCGGCCCCGUCGUGAUAGAACCCUUGCCUUUUUGAGUACCGUCCGUUUCCUCGGCAGGCUCGCCUGCCAAUGGGGACCCAAAACCAAACUCUUUUUAUCAUCUGUACCAGUCUGAAAAACAAACAAAAGUUAAAACUUUCAACAACGGAUCUCUUGGUUCUGGCAUCGAUGAAGAACGCAGCGAAAUGCGAUAAGUAGUGUGAAUUGCAGAAUUCAGUGAAUCAUCGAAUCUUUGAACGCACAUUGCGCCCUCUGGUAUUCCGGGGGGCAUGCCUGUUCGAGCGUCAUUACAACCCUCAAGCUUUGCUUGGUAUUGGACAUUGCCAGUUUCUGGCAGGUCUUAAAAUCAGUGGCGGUGCCAUUUGGCUUCAAGCGUAGUAAUUCUUCUCGCUUUGGAGAUCCAAGUGGUUACUUGCCAAUAACCCCCAAUUUUUUCAGGUUGACCUCGGAUCAGGUAGGGAUACCCGCUGAACUUAAGCAUAUCAAUAAGCGGAGGA
rnacentral:rRNA from 1 species